GUUGUGAUCAUUUAUUUAACAAUCUUAAAAUGUCAGAGAGAAUGGCUGUGAAGGCUCUAGCUGUUUCUGGUUUGGUUGGGUUCCUGGUAUGGUUGGUCUAACUAAUUAAAUAUAUAUAUAUACACACAUAUAUAUAACAAUCCAGAGUAUAACCACUCUGUAGAUUCAGUCGACUAGUUUAAAAACUAUCAUUAGCAUAUAGCUCAUUCAGGCUUACAAAGGGUCUCAAUAAAAGAACACCUAUAAAAUUAUGUAGCCUUAAUUCAACAACAUCUGUUUAAAAUAACCAUCUGUAUAUAAAUACUAGUGGUUAUUAUCGUCACCAAGACAUAUAUUUCUUUGACUAAUUAAAACUAUAGGU
rnacentral:lncRNA from 1 species